UACGUAGGGUCCGAGCGUUGUCCGGAAUUAUUGGGCGUAAAGGGCUCGUAGGCGGUCUGUCGCGUCGGGAGUGAAAACUCACAGCUUAACUGUGGGCGUGCGGGCGAUACGGGCAGACUGGAGUACUGCAGGGGAGACUGGAAUUCCUGGUGUAGCGGUGGAAUGCGCAGAUAUCAGGAGGAACACCGGUGGCGAAGGCGGGUCUCUGGGCAGUAACUGACGCUGAGGAGCGAAAGCGUGGGGAGCGAACAGG
rnacentral:rRNA from 1 species